rnacentral:tRNA from 1 species
GCCCGGGUGGUGGAAUCGGUAGACACAUCGGACUUAAAAUCCGAAGGCGAAAGCCGUGCGGGUUCGACUCCCGCCCCGGGCA